UUAGCAAGGAGAGGCUACGGAGAAGUAAAUAUCGUGGUUUUUAGCGGGUACUUUUCUUUAAAGAAUGUGUUACUAAUGCAAAGCAUUCCAUUCGCCACGGAAGGUGCCGGGACAGGAGGAACUUGGAGCAUGGCAUAAACCCACCCCAUCGCUUUCAGAAGGUACCGGAGCCCAGGGUUAUACUCUGACCACAGCGAAACCAAGAUUUACAAGUAAGCCAGGUUCAGAGUCCGGCCAUAGAAGAGAUGAUGGAUAGGGCCUCCUUUGGCUUCCAGCUGCUUCUCAGUUGAAAAUGGCAAAGGAACAUAUGCAAAAGGCACAACCUUCCCGAUGCCAACACCUCCACAAUGGAGCCGUGGGACUCCUUCCGGAAGCGGCAGCGCGGGAGCGCCAGCCAGGGAGGAAACCGUGAGCUGCGUGGGGUUUGUGUGGAGCACAGCUUCGUAGGUGGAUCACUGCUAUCCCAGACUGACAUCUACAUCUUAUUUAAAUACUCCAGCGUGGGCCCUUUGCUGUGGUUCCAGCUUGUCUAAAUGAAUUGGUCGAUGCAGAUUUUCCUUUGGGGUCAGCCACCAAGGGAAAAUACUGUAGUUCAGCAAAAGAAAGUCGACGUGCUACGCUUUGUUAUAUCACCGCACUCCUGCAGUGCACCUCCACAAAGGUGCUGAGGCAGGGAAACCAGAUAUGGAGUCUGAGUGUCCUGGUGGCAAGACCCUGAGCCCAGCUCUGCACUGGAGAGAGGUGUGAUCAUAAGGAAGUCAGUGGAACCAUGCAGGGAUGGGCAGCUUCCACCCCUUUAUCCAGUAGGAUCUUCCCAACAUCCAACUCAAACCAGGCAGAGGACACAAAACCGUGCCAGCCCUGCAGGCAGCAUUUUGUUUUACUCCAAUAAUUCCGUUUCGUUUUUAUCUGUAUUUCAGGUACACAGUUUUGUUGUUCAAUUAAGCCUGCAGACGAGAUCUUGCUGUACUACAAAAUACAGAAUUGUUAAGAUAUGACAGGUCUGCUCUACUUUCAUGAGUAAAAAAGAUGGGAUUUGGAUCAUUAUCCAUGAUUUUGAAGUUCUUUGGAGAAGAAGCUGUCCACAGGGGCAUGAUGCUGUUAGGGGGUGGAGGAGGGAGAGAGCAGGAGAAGAGGAGACAUUUGAAGUCAAAUGGUAAUUCUCAUCCUUUACUCGAUUACCCUUUAAUUGGCUUUUUCCUAAGAAAUAUCUGACAACCACUUUGCAUAUCUCUUUUCCAGAGCCUAGUAAACAAAGGAUUUAAUACUCUUGUUAUGAAAGGAAAAAUCUUUCCUCUGUCAGAAAAUCUUUGGCUUUAGCACCAAUAAACUCUUUAUUACUGCUAAACUUGGAUUUGCUGCUCGAUCGCAGAGAGGCGAUAAAAACUCUAACCUGUCAUUAGUGCAUUAUGCUUAAUUGUGUACAGUAUGUUUCCAGUUGCA